rnacentral:rRNA from 1 species
GACGAACGCUGGCGGCGUGCCUAAUACAUGCAAGUAGAACGCACAGUUUAUACCGUAGCUUGCUACACCAUAGACUGUGAGUUGCGAACGGGUGAGUAACGCGUAGGUAACCUGCCUGGUAGCGGGGGAUAACUAUUGGAAACGAUAGCUAAUACCGCAUAAUAUUAAUUAUUGCAUGAUAAUUAAUUAAAGGUGCAAUUGCACCACUACCAGAUGGACCUGCGUUGUAUUAGCUAGUAGGUGAGGUAACGGCUCACCUAGGCGACGAUACAUAGCCGACCUGAGAGGGUGAUCGGCCACACUGGGACUGAGACACGGCCCAGACUCCUACGGGAGGCAGCAGUAGGGAAUCUUCGGCAAUGGACGAAAGUCUGACCGAGCAACGCCGCGUGAGUGAAGAAGGGUGUCGGAUCGUAAAGCUCGGUUGUAAGAGAAGAACGGGUGUGAGAGUGGAAAGUUCACACUGUGACGGUAUCUUACCAGAAAGGGACGGCUAACUACGUG